GGCUACCACAUCUAAGGAAGGCAGCAGGCGCGCAAAUUACCCAAUUCUAACAGCAUAAGAGAGGUAGUGACAAGAAAUAACAAUACAAGGCAAUUAAAAUGCUUUGUAAUUGGAAUGAUAGAAAUUUAAACACUUUUUAAAGUAUCAAUUGGAGGGCAAGUCUGGUGCCAGCAGCCGCGGUAAUUCCAGCUCCAAUAGCGUAUAUUAAAAUUGUUGCAGUUAAAAAGCUCGUAGUUGAAUUUCUGCUAAAAAUAACCGGUCUGCUUUUUUAUGAAAGUGGUAUCUUGGUGUGUUUUUAGCAAUAAUGUCCUUUGAAAUGGUUUUUACUUUAUUGUAAAAAGCAAUAUUCAGGAUUUUUACUUUGAGAAAAUUAGAGUGUUUCAAGCAGGCUUACGUUUUGAAUACUGCAGCAUGGAAUAAUAAAAUAGGAUUUUAGUUCUACUUUGUUGGUUUAAAGAACUAAAUUAAUGAUUGAUAGGGACAGUUGGGGGCAUUUGUAUUUAACU
rnacentral:rRNA from 1 species